GCGAAGCUCCCGUUCUCUUCAUUGGCACAUGUUAACCGGGAAAGAAAUGCCGCUGCUGAUACCUUAUCCAAGAAGGCUCAAUCUAUUAACUCUUUGUGUUAAACUUUCUCUGUACCACCUAUAUGGUUGAAACGAUAUUUGUAACAUCUCUUUACGAGUUAAUAAUCUGAUGUUAAAAAUAAAAUAAUGAUUAAGGUAUUAAACACUAUUUCUCACAAAAAUUAGUUUUUAACAUGAUUGGCACACUCCUCUAUGUCAUUCGGUAUUGGAUACUGAAGUUUACCGCACUCU